rnacentral:lncRNA from 1 species
GUUGCAUUUCUAAGUCGAUCCCCUCUCUGCUUUUUUUUCCAAGUCUUUUUGCUCCGGCAUUCCUUUGAUGGUUAGAUUUUUGCCUCCAUAGAGAGGCACAGGCUGAGGGAAGAGAGAGCCAUGGGAGGACCAGGAGGAAAGACUUAAUUAUUAACAGAAUGUCAGAGCACAGAGAGGUCCCCAAAGAGUUUUGGUUCUUUUAAAAGAUGAUAAAGGGUGACCUGGUGUUUAACCACAUGCAGACAUUACAGAUGCUCAUGAUCUCACCAGAAAAGGAGCUUCAACAUAUUUGAAGAGUUUUUAGGCACAAAGGAAACUUACAGAGAGGGUGCCUCUCUUGUUUGAAUGAAAGACUUGGAAGUUUCACAAUCAUUAUGACUAUAAACAGACUGGGCAAAUAAAAUGCAGUGAUGAGAGAAAGCAAGGCCCACAGAAAGGCAGGUCACCCAGCCAGCAAUGGCAAGGCAAGCUGGCUGAGAAUGCGGUACCUACGAUCAGAUGGGUCCAGUUCGAAUCCCAACUUUGCCACGUACUGGUUAAGUGCGCAAGACAAGUAACAUCAUCUCAUAAGCCCAGUUCUCCUCUGUGAAGGGGUAACAAGAGUUCUACUCUGCGUGGAUGCAGAUGUAAUGAGAUCACGUACUAAGGACCCUGAAGACUCAAAGC